rnacentral:rRNA from 1 species
GACGAACGCUGGCGGCGUGCUUAACACACGCAAGUCGAACGGAAAGGCCCUGCUUUUGUGGGGUGCUCGAGUGGCGAACGGGUGAGUAACACGUGAGUAACCUGCCCUUGACUUUGGGAUAACUUCAGGAAACUGGGGCUAAUACCGGAUAGGAGCUCCUGCUGCAUGGUGGGGGUUGGAAAGUUUCGGCGGUUGGGGAUGGACUCGCGGCUUAUCAGCUUGUUGGUGGGGUAGUGGCUUACCAAGGCUUUGACGGGUAGCCGGCCUGAGAGGGUGACCGGCCAAAUUGGGACUGAGAUACGGCCCAGACUCCUACGGGAGGCAGCAGUGGGGAAUAUUGCACAAUGGGCGGAAGCCUGAUGCAGCAACGCCGCGUGCGGGAUGACGGCAUUCGGGUUGUAAACCGCUUUCGCCUGUGACGAAGCGUGAGUGACGGUAAUGGGUAAAGAAGCACCGGCUAACUACGUG